rnacentral:tRNA from 1 species
GGCGCGUUGGCCGAGUGGUUUAGGCAAUGGUUUGCAAAACCAUUUACAGCGGUUCGAUCCCGCUACGCGCCUCCA